AGGCCGGCUGCCUGGAGAGAUGGCAUUGUGCUGACCAUCUCUGAGCCUCGGACUUCCUCAGCGGCUCCUCUUCUGGGUGGAGGGCAGCGGAGAGCAGCAGGGAACCUGGUGGGUGAAGGUGCCACAAGAGAGUUAAACAGCUAAUGCUAAUUGUCACGAGAGAGACCCGCAGAGGCACAGAGAUCAGAGGAAGGAAGAUGCUUGGGCCAGACAUCCGAUUGACACGUGGAACAGUGUCACAGAACCCAGAGGACAGAUGAAAGCAUCAGAUGCUCUCCUGAGAACUCCAGGGGGCCAACAUCACGCUCUGCAUCACUCGUAUUUGACCCAAAGUGGGCCUGUGCUCUAUCAGAACAUUGUCUCAGUCCUCUAGCCCAGCAACUCACUGGGCAACUCUGUUUUCUGACAAUGUACUUGGCAUGGCUGGGAAGCUGCUCCCUUUAUCUACUUUAAAUCUUUCUUCCUGUCAUUCCUGGCCAUUUCCUUUUCUUCUUUCUUCACUGAGGCUGGAAGAGCAGGUCCUGACCUGUCUUAUACUUAAUCUUGGCCCAGCAGUAGCCAAGAGCCAUAGAGAUAAGAGCCAGCUCUUCAAAGCUGCUCAGAUCCCCUGAUAAUUCCACAGAGGAUUUUCCUAGCACUUACUGGGAAGAGGGCUUGGGAAAGCUGGCAGCUUAUCAAGUGGAGGGGCUAUUACAGGGACUAGACAUGGGUGAGACAUAACAAGUGCACUGCUUCAGGGGAUAAAAGGUACUUCAGAGUGAUGCCCCAGCUACUGACACUGCCGGGAGCCUAUAGCUAUGGCGAAGGAUUCAUCCUCACCGAAGACUUCCUUUCGGUGGCUUUAAGAAGUUCUCCUAAGUUGACCUUCUGUUUAGCAAGAGCAGGAGAGGGAGCAGGGUGGGAAGUAAAUUGAAUAGAUCCCUGAGGAUUCACUCUGAGGACAUUUCAGCCCUUGAGUAUUUAACAAAGGUCCCACGGGAGUGUCAGUGGUUCCCCAGCUACUGACAAUUGCAAGGGUGCUGGCUGGAACCCCCAGGGGCGCCAUGCAAACUGGUUCUCAGUAAAAAUAAAACCCCAAUGAAGCCAUCAUGACCUAUGGAACAGAGUAGAGUGGUUCCGUUGGGUUUUUCAUGCUGUGGUCUUUAAAGAAGCCAAAGAAGGGCUUGUGGGGGUUCUAACAACUGAUCUUUCUGUUCGUGGCCGAGAGAGGGGGUCACCAUUGCACCAUCAGGAUGCCUUGACUUAUGAAAAUCCUACUUCACACCACAUGAGGUUGUCAUGAAUUAGAAAGGGUGCUAAGGCACCUAGCAGCAACAGUAUUUCACAAGGAUUAGAGGGUUUUUCUUAAGGAGUCAUUGUGGGUUGUGUUCUGGGUUGCUAGUUGCAAGGGCAGCAGUUCAAAGCCAGCAGCCACUCCAUGGGAGAAAGGAAAUCUUUCUGUUUCCAUCAAGAUUUACAGCUUCACAGUUCUCAUCUGCCCUAUGGGGCCGUUAUGAGUCAGACUCAACUCCAUGGCAGUGGUAAGCCUCAUUCUCUGGUCACAGUAAUUUUUUUUUGUAAAAGAAGUUUUACUUGAACCGUGUUUUUUGUUAUGGCUUAUUUAAGAGAACAGUGUGGCUCUGACAUUUUGAUUCCUGCUCAGGAAAAAUGCCGCAGAAACUGUUGUGAUGUUG